CUACAUAUAACAUACAGUGAAAGAUUUAAAGAAAAAAAAUCUAUGCCUCUAUGAAUUCAAAGGGUUUAAAAAUUAUCUAACAAAGUACAUGAUAGUGUGACUAUAGUUCUGUGCAAAUAAUAUGAACCCAAUGUGAAGGUCACAGGUUUUGUGGAGGGAGAUCUAUCAAAACCAUAAAGUAUCAUGAGCCUGAGACUCACACUAUUUGCAGAGGACUAAAAAACUUCUAAUUAUUAUGUUUUUAUUUAUCAUUUUAUGGUCAUUAAUAGUCUUUAUAUUUUCAAUUUUGUUAUUAAAUAAUUUGGUUUGAGGACAGUAGUCAGAGAUGUGGUAUGGGCAGUGAUGCUAAUCUUAAUUCUCAUCCAUCUGGAUGUGAGCAGUUUUAUGUCCACAAGGUUUUCAUCAUGUGUACAGGAGCUAGAUAGCGAUGGAGGCCUCUCCUCCACUAUAUGUCACCUGGUAUGAACUAUUCAGUUGAGGAUACUUUGGCAAGGCUAUGAGAAACCUGUGAGAAAUGUGUUUAGUGCCUAUAAAUGAUCUUCCAGAAAAGGCAGAGUGAAUUUAUAUGUUGAAUGUUAAUUUACUAAUUCCAGGUCUCUGCUGAAAGCAAAACGCCCAAAACUCAAACCCACAGCAGCUUCCAAUCUAAGGGGUAAAAACAUUUUUACUUAUUUUGGACAAGAUCUAAACAGGUGAAGGAAUCUCCUCAGGUAUCUGAAUCUCCAGGUGUCUGUGGUCACAUAUCCUACACACAAUUUCCUUGUCACUGGGUAUCUAGACAGGUGUAGUGCUACUCCCUACCCCUACCUCCUGGGAUCUUUGAUUUCUUAGUCCCAUUCCCUUCUUCAUUGGUUAGUUGGGUCAGUGAGCAGCAAGUCCCAAAGAAUGACACAUUAGUAGGAGAGUUAAAUUAUCAAUUAUUUCUAGAAUAAAGGACAAUCUAGAUUCAAGUCUAGGUUCGACCUUUUAAAAAAGCUUCUAAAAAUAGGUCUGGAAAGGUUCUAUUGUUUCUCCUGUAACUUAGUUGGAUUCACAACAUGGGGUUGAAUCCUCUCACAUUUACCACACUGCAGCCUGGAUGACUGCAGACAAUUACUUAAUCUUUCUGAUGCUCAAUUUGCUUAUCAAUAAGAUGGGAAUGAUAAUACUGUGACUGAUGUGAAAUUUAUAGAAUUAAUGCAUGUUAAACUUAGACCUGUGUCUGGUAUAGUAAGCACUCAAUAAGUGCUGGUUGUACUCGGUGUUACCAUUAUCUCAUUGAGUGUCCCUCCUCUCAACCUGAGCCUAUUUUAAGAUAAAGUGAGAAGGAUUUACUUCAGUCAUAGGAUAAGAGGCAGCUUGCCAGUAGGAAGUUGACUGAUCAUAGAUCUUAUCCUGAGAGUGGAAGGAAGAAGAAGAGCUACUACAUUGUUUUGGGUAACAGGACUUGCCAUCUGUGUCUGAGAACCAAGCUCCUUGUCUUUAGAUAUGUAAUCAGGAGUUGCAAAACAGUAAUUAAAAAUAGAAUUUUAUAGAUACAAUAUAUUUUAAAUAGCUUAUUCUUAUAACACCCUACUUUUAUUUCUAUUUUUUACUAUUUUGUUCUUCCUGCAUUUGACUGAUCAAUGAACAAAAAUAACAAAAUGAAUAUAUAAUUCUAUCUAAUUAAUAUGUGUUUAUUAUUUAAAACAUUGAAACAAAUAGUUUAUCCAGGCUGUUUAUUAUGUUUUCCUGUGUCUGGCUUAUAAGUAUUGUAUCUUUCNUUCAAGUCUAGGUUCGACCUUUUAAAAAAGCUUCUAAAAAUAGGUCUGGAAAGGUUCUAUUGUUUCUCCUGUAACUUAGUUGGAUUCACAACAUGGGGUUGAAUCCUCUCACAUUUACCACACUGCAGCCUGGAUGACUGCAGACAAUUACUUAAUCUUUCUGAUGCUCAAUUUGCUUAUCAAUAAGAUGGGAAUGAUAAUACUGUGAUUGAUGUGAAAUUUAUAGAAUUAAUGCAUGUUAAACUUAGACCUGUGUCUGGUAUAGUAAGCACUCAAUAAGUGCUGGUUGUACUCGGUGUUACCAUUAUCUCAUUGAGUGUCCCUCCUCUCAACCUGAGCCUAUUUUAAGAUAAAGUGAGAAGGAUUUACUUCAGUCAUAGGAUAAGAGGCAGCUUGCCAGUAGGAAGUUGACCGAUCAUAGAUCUUAUCCUGAGAGUGGAAGGAAGAAGAAGAGCUACUACAUUGUUUUGGGUAACAGGACUUGCCAUCUGUGUCUGAGAACCAAGCUCCUUGUCUUUAGAUAUGUAAUCAGGAGUUGCAAAACAGUAAUUAAAAAUAGAAUUUUAUAGAUACAAUAUAUUUUAAAUAGCUUAUUCUUAUAACACCCUACUUUUAUUUCUAUUUUUUACUAUUUUGUUCUUCCUGCAUUUGACUGAUCAAUGAACAAAAAUAACAAAAUGAAUAUAUAAUUCUAUCUAAUUAAUAUGUGUUUAUUAUUUAAAACAUUGAAACAAAUAGUUUAUCCAGGCUGUUUAUUAUGUUUUCCUGUGUCUGGCUUAUAAGUAUUGUAUCUUUCUCACUUCUGUUACGUUUACAGUCAUUUGAGGUAAGUUUGUCCAAGGUAAAUAUUUAAAAAUUGGGAUAUAAUCUACUAUGGAAACAAUGAAUUUCAUACUGCUAACCUUUGAAUGUGUCCUCUGAAGUUCAUUCAUUAGAAACUUAAUUUCCAAUGCAACAGUGUUGAGAAGUAUGCCUAAUAAGGAAUGAGUAGGGCUUGAAUGGAUUAAUAGUGUUUUUGAGGAAGUGGGUUAGCUAUAAAGAUAGAGGGUUAUUUUAUUUUUUAAUUUUAAUUUUUUGUUUUUU
rnacentral:lncRNA from 1 species